rnacentral:rRNA from 1 species
ACUCCUACGGGAGGCAGCAGUGGGGAAUAUUGCACAAUGGGCGCAAGCCUGAUGCAGCCAUGCCGCGUGUAUGAAGAAGGCCUUCGGGUUGUAAAGUACUUUCAGCGGGGAGGAAGGCGAUAAGGUUAAUAACCUUGUCGAUUGACGUUACCCGCAGAAGAAGCACCGGCUAACUCCGUGCCAGCAGCCGCGGUAAUACGGAGGGUGCAAGCGUUAAUCGGAAUUACUGGGCGUAAAGCGCACGCAGGCGGUCUGUCAAGUCGGAUGUGAAAUCCCCGGGCUCAACCUGGGAACUGCAUUCGAAACUGGCAGGCUAGAGGCUUGUAGAGGGGGGUAGAAUUCCAGGUGUAGCGGUGAAAUGCGUAGAGAUCUGGAGGAAUACCGGUGGCGAAGGCGGCCCCCUGGACAAAGACUGACGCUCAGGUGCGAAAGCGUGGGGAGCAAACAGGAUUAGAAACCCUUGUAGUCCCA